rnacentral:rRNA from 1 species
GGCUCACCAAGCCGACGAUCUGUAGACUGGUCUGAGAGGACGACCAGCCACACUGGGACUGAGACACGGCCCAGACUCCUACCGGGAGGCAGCAGUGGGGGAAUUUUUGGCAAUGGGCGCAAGCCCUGAUCCAGCAAUGCCGCGUGCCAGGGAUGAAAGGCCUUCGGGUUGUAAACUGCUUUUGUACGGAACGAAACGGUGAGCUCUAAUACAGUUUGCUAAUGACGGUACCGUAAGAAUAAGCACCGGCUAACUACGUG